GAGGUCCCGCCUGCCCUGUGACUAUAUGUUUAACGGCCGCGGUAUUUUGACCGUGCGAAGGUAGCGCAAUCACUUGUCUUUUAAAUGGAGACCUGUAUGAAUGGCAUAACGAGGGCUUAGCUGUCUCCUUUUUCAAGUCAAUGAAAUUGAUCUCCCCGUGCAGAAGCGGGGAUAACACCAUAAGACGAGAAGACCCUAUGGAGCUUUAGACACCAAGGCAGAUCAUGUUAAACACCCCUUCACAAAGGACUAAACCAGAUGAACCCUGCCCUAAUGUCUUUGGUUGGGGCGACCGCGGGGAAACAAAAAACCCCCAUGUGGAAUGGGAACACUCCUUCCUACAACUAAGAGCUCCCGCUCUAAUGACCAGAACUUCUGACCAAUCAGAUCCGGCAACGCCGAUCAACGAACCGAGUUACCCUAGGGAUAACAGCGCAAUCCCCUUUUAGAGCCCAUAUCGACAAGGGGGUUUACGACCUCGAUGUUGGAUCAGGACAUCCUAAUGGUGCAGCCGCUAUUAAGGG
rnacentral:rRNA from 1 species